GAGCCUGAAGAAAUGUUUAGUCAGGUUUGAGACAUGAUUGUUAACUACUUUUUUUUUUUUGGCAGAUUCUAAAAAUUUAUUUCCACAAAUCAUAUUUCCAGAGAAAAUCCAAGCAAACACAAGUGAUAAUUCAGAAGUUGAAUACUUGUUCUGGACUCUCUAGGAACAAAUAUCCUAUAUUAUUCCAAUAGAUGAGAAGCCUUAUACUGUGCACCUUAAGCAGAGGUAAUUUUUUUAUUCCUUAGUUAUGGAUUCAAUUUUAU
rnacentral:lncRNA from 1 species